ACCCCAGCUUUAAGCCGACUCUGGCAAUUCCAAGUUGCCAGUGUGUGCUAGAACUGGGAACAUUAAGGCUGGGCAUGUGUAAGCAGCUGGGUCUUUACCUGGCUGCUAAGAUGUUCCAGAUACA